rnacentral:rRNA from 1 species
AUUGAACGCUGGCGGCAGGCCUAACACAUGCAAGUCGGGCGGUAACAGGAAUCAGCUUGCUGAUUCGCUGACGAGCGGCGGACGGGUGAGUAAUGUCUGGGAAACUGCCUGAUGGAGGGGGAUAACUACUGGAAACGGUAGCUAAUACCGCAUAACGUCUACGGACCAAAGUGGGGGACCUUCGGGCCUCAUGCCAUCAGAUGUGCCCAGAUGGGAUUAGCUCGUAGGUGGGGUAACGGCUCACCUAGGCGACGAUCCCGAGCUGGUCUGAGAGGAUGACCAGCCACACUGGAACUGAGACACGGUCCAGACUCCUACGGGAGGCAGCAGUGGGGAAUAUUGCACAAUGGGCGCAAGCCUGAUGCAGCCAUGCCGCGUGUAUGAAGAAGGCCUUCGGGUUGUAAAGUACUUUCAGCGGGGAGGAAGGUGUUGUGGUUAAUACCCGCAGCAAUUGACGUUACCCGCAGAAGAAGCACCGGCUAACUCCGUGCCAGCCGCCGCCGUAA